UCAUUUCUGUUGCACAAUCCAAUUAGCUCUGAGUUCCACCGAUAAGAAACAGCACCAGAUCACUACAGAAGCUUUGUGUGAGAAGUCGUGCGUCUAAUAGCUGGCUGGUAAACAAUCGGCAGCAUCUUCAACAGGUUCCGCUUUCACCAGGGAUCUACAACAGCUGGUUAACAACAGAGAUCAUGCUGACUGCUUACCUGCUGGCAAUCUUCUUCAUCUGCGCAGGAAUCACAGCGGAAGCCGUCCUUCCACCAUACAACAAGGACCUGUUUGACAUCAAUGUUGACGACUGCCUGUCGGAUUUCAACAAAAGCAUGGAGACAAGUGACUAUCAGAACAUGUGCCCGUGGCCUAUGGU